GCAGCACUCAGACAGGCCCAGCUGAUGGAGCAGAUUAAAAAUGCCCCAUUUUUAAACAUCUUCUCCAGCACAGCCAUCGCCCUGAGGGCUGCGAGCUCUCUGUGUGCUGUUCCCUCCUGACCAGCACAGGGCUGGGUGGGCAGGCAGGGGCUGGGUGGGCAGAUUCAGCCUGAGCAGCUGAAGGAGCAGAGCCAGCCCAGCUGUUCCUGGCUGGCAGACGGCUCAGCAGAUUGCAGCGCAGGAUCCCUGACGGCAGCAGGCAGGAGCAUCCAUCCGGUUUGUGCUUUGCUGCUGUGCCAAAUCUCCCUCCUGUCCCUCUCAGGCUUUUCCUUCCACUUCUCUGUGUUUCCUGCUCAAGCACACAACCACUGCUCAAGCACCCAGGCAGGAUCCAGGUGGAUCUCCCCGAGGAGCAGAGUAGGCUGGAGCUGCUCCUGGUGCUCCAAGGCUUCCUCUCCUGGGAAUUACAGAGGGAAUCCAGAUCUACCAAGGGCACAGAAGGGACAGGCAGAGCAGCACCUCCCAGAGGAGUCACUUAGCUCAGCUGAGCAGGGAUCCCAGAGGACACAACCCUCAUCCCUCCUGCCUUCUCCAACCCUGCAAAACCUCCCUGAUAUUGUUCCUCACGAUGUUCCCUGCGCUCCCUCCAGAACCAGAGCAGUUUGUCCAUCACCCAGUGGAAAUGUGCAGGGAAGUCACCAGGGAAGCAGCACCUUACCUUGUGCCAUCUUCCACAGGGGUGGAACUGAAACAGGAGGGCACCAGGGUGGCUCCAGCUCAGGCUUCCCAGGGAGUUUUCACUCCUAUGCUGCCAAGAGGCUCCUGACAGUCCUUCCAUGCCCAGGAUGGGAACAGUGCCACAUGACUCUGCUCCUGCUGAAACACCUCCUCAGCUGCCAGGGCCGCCAGCCAGGUGGCAUCUCUGCCCAGCCACCCCUGAGCAAGCAGCAGGCUCGUCCUCUGGAGUCCUCUGAAAUUCCCAGCAAUGUCUGAGGAGCAGCCCUGGGAUGACAGAGCGACCUUGGGAACUGUCUGUGCUGGAGUGGGAGCAGAAGUUGUGGCAGUGGUGACCUUCCCAUCCCAGCUCUGAUUCUAGCACGAGCCUGCUCAGCACCUCCCCACGUUCAUGUCCCUGCUCACCAUCUCUUGGUGACACCAGUCACAC
rnacentral:lncRNA from 1 species